CGAUCGUAGUGUAUUGGCUAGGUACACGAAAUUGAUCAGAAAAUAUAGUUUUAAUUUUAAUGAUGUACACAAGGGAUUUAAAAUCCCUCGCCUUUCGAGGCGUGCCAGUUCAAGUCUGGCUUCGGGCACCA
rnacentral:tRNA from 1 species